GAUGAACGCUGGCGGCGUGCCUAAUACAUGCAAGUCGAGCGAACAGAUGAGGAGCUUGCUCCUCUGACGUUAGCGGCGGACGGGUGAGUAACACGUGGAUAACCUACCUAUAAGACUGGGAUAACUUCGGGAAACCGGAGCUAAUACCGGAUAAUAUAUUGAACCGCAUGGUUCAAUAGUGAAAGACGGUUUUGCUGUCACUUAUAGAUGGAUCCGCGCCGCAUUAGCUAGUUGGUAAGGUAACGGCUUACCAAGGCAACGAUGCGUAGCCGAACUGAGAAGGGGAUCGGGCACAACGGGAAUUAGAAAAGGUGCAAAAUCCCAAGGGAGGCAGCAGUAGGGAAUCUUAAGAGAGUGGCGAAAGCCUGAAGGAGCAACGGCGGGUAAGUGAAGAAGGUUUUCGGAUUGUAAAAAUCUGUUAAUAAGGAAGAACAAAUGUGUAAGUAACUAUGCACGUCUUGACGGUACCUAAUCAGAAAGCCACGGCUAACUACGUG
rnacentral:rRNA from 1 species